CGAUCAAAGAUGGACGCCCAGAGCGUGGC
rnacentral:sRNA from 1 species